UACGUAGGGUGCGAGCGUUGUCCGGAAUUAUUGGGCGUAAAGAGCUCGUAGGCGGUUUGUCGCGUCUGCUGUGAAAACCUAAGGCUCAACCUUGGGCUUGCAGUGGGUACGGGCAGACUAGAGUGCGGUAGGGGUGACUGGAAUUCCCGGUGUAGCGGUGAAAUGCGUAGAGAUCGGGAGGAACACCCGUGGCGAAGGCGGCCAUCUGGACCAGCACUGACGCUGAGGAGCGAAAGCAUGGGGAGCGAACAGG
rnacentral:rRNA from 1 species